UAAGCGGAGGAAAAGAAACUANCAAGGAUUCCCCUAGUAACUGCGAGUGAAGCGGGAAAAGCUCAAAUUUAAAAUCUGGUGGUCUUUGGCCGUCCGAGUUGUAAUUUAGAGAAGCGUCUUCCGCGCUGGACCGUGCACAAGUCUCCUGGAAUGGAGCGUCAUAGAGGGUGAGAAUCCCGUCUUUGGCACGGACACACCAGGGCUUUUGUGAUGUGCUCUCGAAGAGUCGAGUUGUUUGGGAAUGCAGCUCAAAAUGGGUGGUGAACUCCAUCUAAAGCUAAAUAUUGGCGAGAGACCGAUAGCGAACAAGUACCGUGAGGGAAAGAUGAAAAGCACUUUGGAAAGAGAGUGAAACAGUACGUGAAAUUGUUGAAAGGGAAACGCUUGAAGUCAGUCGCGUCGACCGAGACUCAGCCUUGCCUUGGCUUGGUGUACUUCUCGGCUGACGGGUCAGCACCAAUUUUGCCCCUUGGAUAAUGGUGAGGGAAAUGUGACACCUUUACGGUGUGUUAUAGUCUCUUGUCGCAUGCAAGGGUCGGGAUUGAGGAACUCAGCACGCGCCCUUGGGCGUCGGGGCUUUUGCCCACGAUACGUGCUUAGGAUGUUGGCAUAAUGGCUUUAAACGACC
rnacentral:rRNA from 1 species